UGGAGAUGAAGAUGGAUGCAUUCUCUAAGCAUUGUUUCAGCGAUCUUGCCAUCACAUAUCCUGAACAUUUUCCAAAUGCUGUGAAGGCGGCGUUCCUGGUUGACUGACUGAAUGGCUGCCAAUGUCUUUAAUGAAGUGGAGCCGCAAGCUGAAACAACUGAUCAUCCACGUCAAACACAACACUAAACAACGUCGAGCAGGUUAACAUCAGCCCCAGGUGGCAGGAGGGAGGGAGCCAAGGGCGUCCAAUGCUGGUCUACUGGCCCAAGUCAACAACCUCCAACCCCUCAUUUCAUUAGUGCUGUAAUUGUAGUGCGCAGCAUAGCAUGAGACUAAAUGGGGCGCGGCCACUUGAGUAAGAAGAAGCAGAGCUUCAACAUGUGGGAAUCUGCUUUACCUGGAGUUCAAGAGUUCCCUACCCAGCAUGA